GUUGAUUAACAUAAGUGAUGUUAGUAAUUAAAUGGUGCAAGUUUUUUUUUAUGGUGUUAGAUUACGCCAUAUUUACAUAUUGUUUUAAAAUAGGAAAAGAGACGUAUCUUCAGAAAAUAGCACAUAAAUAUGUUUUGCCCUAAGGGAUUUACAUACUAGUAUUGUUGUGGUAGAUUGAUAUUAAAUUAAAAAAAAAGAGAGA
rnacentral:lncRNA from 1 species